rnacentral:rRNA from 1 species
GUAGGGGCCAAGCGUUAUCCGGAUUUAUUGGGCGUAAAGAGCUCGUAGGCGGCUUGGCAAGUCGGUCGUGAAAGUCCGAGGCUCAACCUCGUAAUGCCGGUCGAAACUGCCAUGGCUAGGGUUCGGUAGAGGAGAGUGGAAUUCUCGGUGUAGCGGUGAAAUGCGCAGAUAUCGAGAGGAACACCAGUAGCGAAGGCGGCUCUCUGGGCCGAUACCGACGCUGAGGAGCGAAAGCGUGGGGAGCAAACAGGGAUUAGAUACCCUGGUAGUCCACGCCGUAAACGGUGAUCACUAGGUGUGGCGGACUCAUUGACGUCUGCUGUGCCGGCGCUAACGCAUUAAGUGAUCCGCCUGGGGAGUACGGCCGCAAGGCUA